UACGUAGGGCGCGAGCGUUGUCCGGAAUCAUUGGGCGUAAAGAGCUCGUAGGCGGCCGGUUGCGUCUGCUGUGAAAUCCCGGGGCUUAACCCCGGGCCUGCAGUGGGUACGGGCAGACUGGAGUGCGGUAGGGGAGAAUGGAAUUCCUGGUGUAGCGGUGGAAUGCGCAGAUAUCAGGAGGAACACCGAUGGCGAAGGCAGUUCUCUGGGCCGAUACUGACGCUGAGGAGCGAAAGCGUGGGGAGCGAACAGG
rnacentral:rRNA from 1 species